AUUGAACGCUGGAGGCAGGCCUAACACAUGCAAGUCGCGCGAGCGGCGGACGGGUGAGUAAUGUAUGGGGACUGCCCGAUAGAGGGGGAUAACUACUGGAAACGGUAGCUAAUACCGCAUACUCCCGGAGAACCCAUAUGGGAUUAGCUAGUAGUGGAGGUAAUGGCUCACCUAGGCGACGAUCCCUCGCUGGUCUGAGAGGAUGAUCAGCCACACUGGGACUGAGACACGGCCCAGACGCCUACGGAGGCAGCAGUGGGGAAUAUUGAACAAUGGGCGCAAGCCUGAUGCAGCCAUGCCGCGUGUAUGAAGAAGGCCCUAGGGUUGUAAAGUACUUUCAGUCGGGAGGCGUUACCGACAGAAGAAGCACCGGCUAACUCCGUGCCAGCCGCCGCGGUAAUAC
rnacentral:rRNA from 1 species